rnacentral:tRNA from 1 species
AGGGAUGUAAUUCAGUGGUAGAGUGUUUGUCUAUCAUACACAAGGCCCUGGGUUCAAUACCCAGCAUUAUAU